rnacentral:tRNA from 1 species
GGUUUAAAUCCCUCCUGUACUA